rnacentral:lncRNA from 1 species
CCGCAGAGCUCCUUCUGGGAUUCUCUAUUGGCUGAACUCAGCCAGAAGCUGCCAAGGGAGACCCCCACAACUGGAUGCAGCCCACUGAAGUCAGCUUCCUGGGGUGCGUAGCUGAAGGUAGCAGGGAGCAAAAAGAAUCUGAAGGGGAAGUGAACAAUGUAGAGCGUAUCUGUGCUGAAGACGUAAGGAGAGAGUGGAGGUCAGAAGCUGGCAUGGUCCCUGGUGCAUGUAUCAGCCGCUAAAGAAGUGGAGAGUAUGAACAUAAGCAAGAGGAAGUGAUGAGUAUCCCUUCCAGGAGAACUCUAAGAGGCAGUGAGUGAUUUGCUGGGCUCCCAAGCCCUCUGCUCUGAUGACAGCAAAGCCCCAAAUCAUGGUGCCUCCAUCAGUCGGGACCCCUCAGCAGAGCCAGCUUCACAGCUGGAGUGGAUGAAUCAGAACUUUCCCCAUGGGAGCAUUUAUAAAAAGGGGACACCCAGCGCAGAAGAUGUUUUCCAGGGAGAUCUCGGGGAGCCCAACAAGCCAAGAAGAGCAGAGCAAAGCAUUCCAAGGAAGGACUCUAAGUCUGCAACCGAGCACACACGAGCACAAGGAAAGACCAUGUGAAUACACAGCAAGAACGUGGUGCUCUGCAAGUCAGAAACAGACCCGUCAUCAGACACCAAAUCAGCCAGCACCUUGAUCUAGGAUUUCUGGCCUCCAAAACAGUGAGAAAAUAAAAUUCUGUUGUUUAAGC